GGCCAUAUCACGUUGAAACACCGGUCCCUGUAAGAUUACCGAAGUUAAGCAUCGUAAAGCUUGGUCAGUACCUAGAUGGGUGACCGCUUGGAAAUACCAGGUUCUGUAA